rnacentral:rRNA from 1 species
UUGCGCUACCUGGUUGAUCCUGCCAGUAGUUAUAUGCUUACUUCUGAGAUUAAGCCAUGCAUAUUCUAGUAUGAGUUUUUAACUGAAACGAUGGACGGCUCAUUAAAAAGGUGUUUAGCCCUAUCUUUCAUUUGAAAUAGCGGACUUGCUUGGGAAAUCUAAGCCUAAUACGUGUAGUUUUACUAAAAAAAGCUGAGCUUUUUGUUGCAAAGUGUCACAAUUUUGUUAGAUUGUCGCUUUAGUCUUAGUAGUUUUGCUACAGUCAGAAAGGUGGAAUUCCUACCUAUCAGCGAGACGCUGUGGUAGUUUCACAGCGGUGCUUCAACGGGUAACGGAGAAUUAGGGUUUGAUUCCGGAGAGGGAGCCUGAGAAAUGGCUGCUACAUCCACGGAUAGCAGCAGGCGCGCAACUUAUCCAAUCUUGUGAAAGGGAGGUAGUUAGGAAGAGUAGUGGGAACAGCUUUAUAGCCGUUUACUGCAAUGGGGUGUCAGUGUAAAAGGUUCUGAGAAACAACUGGAGGGCAAGCCUGGUGCCAGCAGCCGCGGUAAUUCCAGCUUCAGUAGUGUAUAUUAACGUUGUUGCGCUUAAAAGAUUCGUAGUUGAUUGGGUUAACGUAGCUGGUUUACUUCUUAGAAGAAAACCUUUUCGUAUUGUUGCUUUGUAAGAAUUUUUAGAGCCGUGAUUUAUUAAUAUUGCUUAAAAAUAGCUGUUGCUAUUGUUUGUCGCACGGUAUUGCUCUUCAGAGUUCCUAGCAUCAUUUGUUCUACGAAGCAAAAGUUGCAUGAGAACUGCUUAUGAUUAUGAGGGUUAAGGGAUGAAACCUGAACGUAGGUGUUAGAGGUGAAAUUCUUGUACCACCUAUUGUCGAACUGCUGCGGAAGCGUCUUUCAUCAAUAUGCUCGUUGAUCAAGAUUGAAAGUUGAGGGAUUGAAGACGAUCAGAUACCGUCGUAGUCUUUACUGUAAACUGUGCCAACUGCCACGUGGUCUUUUUUGGAAGUAUCACUUCGGCGAAAGAAAUUUGAGUUUUUUGGCUGUGGGGGGAGUAUGGUUGCAAGACUGAAACUUAAAGAAAUUGACGGAAGGGCACCACAAGGAGUGGAGUUUGCGGCUUAAUUUGACUCAACGCGGGUAACCUUACCAGGUCACGCAAUAGGAAGGAUUGACAAGUUGGUAGGCUUUUCUUGAUUCUAGAAAUGGUGGUGCAUGGCCGUUCUUAGUUGGUGGAUUACUCUGUCUGGUUUAUUCCGAUAACGAACGAGAUCGCUUUGGUGCGAAGGGACUUUCACAUUUUUGUGGAUGAUCCAAGUGUAGAGACUCUGCAAGAAAUUGUAGGGAAGUGGCGGCAAUAACAGGUCUGUGAUGCCCCUAGAUGUCCUGGGCGGCCCGCGCACUACAAUGCAAAUAUCCGAGGGUUAUUGUUGCGAAAGUAAUUUUGGUCUCCUUUUAAUUGUUUGCUUGAUGGGAUAGACAAACGCAUUUUUGUCUUGAACGAGGAAUUCCUAGUAGCCCUGCUUCAUAAGAGGGGGGCGAAUGCGUCCCUGCCCUUUGUACACACCGCCCGUCGCUUCUACCGAUGAACGUGUUGGCAAAAACGGCUAGUUAUGCUACUGUGAUGGCUUGUGUUUCUGGUAGUUUAAGCCUUCACGUUUAGAGGAAGGAAAAGUCGUAACAAGGUUUCCGUAGGUGAACCUGCAGAAGGAUCA